rnacentral:rRNA from 1 species
AUUGAACGCUGGCGGCAUGCCUUACACAUGCAAGUCGAACGGUAACGCGGGGCAACCUGGCGACGAGUGGCGAACGGGUGAGUAAUGCAUCGGAACGUGCCCAGUAGUGGGGGAUAGCCCGGCGAAAGCCGGAUUAAUACCGCAUACGACCUAUGGGUGAAAGCGGGGGACCGUAAGGCCUCGCGCUCUUGGAGCGGCCGAUGGCAGAUUAGGUUGUUGGUGGGGUAAAGGCCUACCAAGCCGACGAUCUGUAGCUGGUCUGAGAGGACGACCAGCCACACUGGGACUGAGACACGGCCCAGACUCCUACGGGAGGCAGCAGUGGGGAAUUUUGGACAAUGGGGGCAACCCUGAUCCAGCCAUGCCGCGUGCGGGAAGAAGGCCUUCGGGUUGUAAACCGCUUUUGUCAGGGAAGAAACGCUCUGGGCUAAUACCUCGGGGUAAUGACGGUACCUGAAGAAUAAGCACCGGCUAACUACGUGCCAGCCGCCGCAGUAAAAC